rnacentral:rRNA from 1 species
UAAACUAGGAUUAGAUACCCUAUUAUUUUAAAUGUAAAUAUAAAUACUAAAGUAGUAAUAGUUAUAUCUUGAAAUUUAAAAAAUUUGGCGGUACUUUAAUCUUUUCAGAGGAACCUGUUCUAUAAUCGAUAAUCCACGAUUGGUUAAACUUAUUGUAUAAAUUUGUAUAUCGUCGUAGUUUAAGUAUUUUAAAAGAAGUUUAAUAUUUAAUAUUUAUUAUUUUAAUUUAUAUCAGAUCAAGGUGCAGUUAAUAAAUAAGUAGAAAUGGGUUACAAUAAGUUUAUUUAAACGAAUUUAUAAUUUAAAAUUGUAAUGAAGGUGGAUUUGAAAGUAAUAUAAAAUCUUUUUUUAUAUGAUUUUAGCUCUAAAGUAUGCACAUAUUGCCCGUCACUUCCAUUUAAAGUGGAAUAAGUCGUAACAAAGUAGAUGUACUGGAAAGUGUAUCUAGAAUGACAAAUUAAAGCUAAUAUAAGCAUUUUAUUUACAUUAAAAAGUUAGUUGUUAAAAUCAAUUUAAUUUGAAUUUAAAAAUUUAUAAGUUUAUUAGGUUUAUUUUGUAAUUAAAAUAAUAAAAGGUUUUAUUAAUAAUAUAAAAUAAUAAUUUCAAUGAUAGUUUAUAAGUAUAGUGAUAGAAAUUUUAAAAUUUUUAUUUAAAUAUUUUAAAGAAAAAGUAGGUUUUGUACCUUGUGUAUCAGGGUUUAUUAAAAAAUAGUUUUGUAUAAAAAUUUUCUCGAAAUUUUAAGAGCUAAAAAAUUAUUAAUUUUAAUGUUAAAUAAUUAUUUUAAAUAAUUUUUUAGAAAUGAAACGUUAUUCGUUUAAAAUGAUAUCUAGUUUUUUAAGAAAUAAAUUUAAUUUAUUGAUUUUAUUACAUUAUUUUUAUUAUUGAAUAUAAUGUAUAAAAUUUAAAAUAUUUUAGGGGAUAAGCUUUAAAAUAAAUUUUUAUAAAUAAUUUUUAUAUUUAAAUAAUUAUAGGAUUAUAAGUUUUUAUUAUUAAAAGUGAGUUAUAUCUUUUAUUUAUUAGUAUAUAAUUUAUAUAUAUUUUAAAUUUUUUAUUAAAAUAAUUAAUUUAAUUAGACUAUUAGUGUAAUUAUGAUAAAAUUAGUAUAAAUAAUUGUAAUUUUAAGUUUAUAAAUUAAGGUUAUUUUAAGGAAUUCGGCAAAUAUAAUUUUCGCCUGUUUAUUAAAAACAUGUCUUUUUGAUAUUAAUUUAAAGUCUAAUCUGCCCAAUGAUUAAUUUAAUGGCCGCGGUAAUUUAACCGUGCAAAGGUAGCAUAAUCAUUAGUUUUUUAAUUGAAAGCUGGUAUGAAUGAUUGGACGAAAAAUUUACUGUCUCAAUUUAAUUUAAAUAAAAUUUUAUUUUUAAGUAAAAAAGCUUAAAUAUUUAUAAAAGACGAGAAGACCCUAUAGAGUUUUAUAUUAUUAUUGGUUAUUAAUUUUUAGUUAUGUUUAUUUUUAAUUUUGAAUAAUAUUUGGUUGGGGUGAUUGAAAAAUUUAUUAAACUUUUUUUUUAUAAAGUCAUUAAUUUAUGAAUAUUUGAUCCAAAAAUUUUGAUUAUAAGAUAAAUUACCUUAGGGAUAACAGCGUUAUUUUUUUUGAGAGUUCUUAUCGAAAAAAAAGUUUGCGACCUCGAUGUUGGAUUAAAAUUUAUUUUUGGCGUAGAAGUUAAAAUAUUAGAUCUGUUCGA